UACGUAGGGGGCAAGCGUUGUUCGGAUUCACUGGGCGUAAAGGGUGCGUAGGUGGUCGGGUAAGUCUGAUGUGAAAUCUCUGGGCUCAACCCAGAAAUGGCAUUGGAUACUAUUCGGCUAGAGGAGUGGAGGGGGGACUGGAAUACUUGGUGUAGCAGUGAAAUGCGUAGAUAUCAAGUGGAACACCAGUGGCGAAGGCGAGUCCCUGGACACUUCCUGACACUGAGGCACGAAAGCUAGGGGAGCAAACAGG
rnacentral:rRNA from 1 species